rnacentral:rRNA from 1 species
UGACGUCAAGUCCUCAUGGCCCUUAUGGUAGGGCUUCACACGUCAUACAAUGGUCGGUACAGAAGGGGUUGCCAAGCCGCGAGGCGGAGCCAAUCCACAAAGCCGAUCGUAGUCCGGAUUGUUCUCUGCAACUCGAGAGCAUGAAGUCGGAAUCGCUAGUAAUCGCAGGUCAGCAUACUGCGGUGAAUACGUUCCCGGGUCUU